rnacentral:lncRNA from 10 species
AUUCUAUCAUAAAAAGGGGUGGGGGAGAGUAGAUCAGGCAGACACAAUCACUGAAGGAGGAGAGUACAGGAGAUUUAGAGGAAGAAGAUCUGUGAAGAGGUUUGGGAGGAGUUAAGAAGGGAAAGCAAUCAGUCAUUUUUCCAAAGGCCAGUCUGCAGGGCUGGGACUGAGCACAGGCUGAAAUCAAGGUUGGACUACCUCUCAGCCCUUCUCAAGCCCUCCAGGCCUAGCAGUCUCCAUCUGAUCCUGUAUUGGAAAUGGGCAUGGAAGAUGCCACAACUUCUCAAGCUUUCCCUAGGAAAAGGGGUGGGUGAACUUCUGGCCUGAAGAAUCUGACUCACCUGGAGCCCCAGCCCACUGUCACCCAUGCCCUCAUCUCCAGACUCUUCUUCCAGCAAGUAAGAGUCACAGCAGCUAGGCUUGCAAAGCAGGGAUGGUGGCUUGGAGCACCAGCUUCCGUGUCAAGCAGGGCAGGCUGCACUCCCAGCGCCCUGGUGCCUCUGGCUCUCGAGGCUUGUUCCUCAUCUCUAGCUCCCUCACAGAGUU